rnacentral:rRNA from 1 species
GACGAACGCUGGCGGCGUGCCUAAUACAUGCCAGUAGAACGCUGAAGCGAGGAGCUUGCUCUUCUUGGAUGAGUUGCGAACGGGUGAGUAACGCGUAGGUAACCUGCCUUGUAGCGGGGGAUAACUAUUGGAAACGAUAGCUAAUACCGCAUAACAAUGGAUGACACAUGUCAUUUAUUUGAAAGGGGCAAUUGCUCCACUACAAGAUGGACCUGCGUUGUAUUAGCUAGUAGGUGAGGUAAUGGCUCACCUAGGCGACGAUACAUAGCCGACCUGCGAGGGUGAGCUGCCGAGCUGGGACGGAGAGACGGCCCAGACUCCUGCGGGAGGCAGCAGGAGGGAAUCCUCGGCGAUGGGGGCAACCCUGACCGAGCAACGCCGCGUGAGUGAAGAAGGUUGUCGGAUCGUGAAGCUCUGUUGUAAGUCAAGAACGGGUGUGAGAGUGGAAAGUUCACACUGUGACGGUAGCUUACCAGAAAGGGACGGCUAACUACGUG